UACGAAGGGGGCUAGCGUUGCUCGGAAUUACUGGGCGUAAAGGGCGCGUAGGCGGAUACUUAAGUCGGGGGUGAAAGCCCAGGGCUCAACCUCGGAAUUGCCUUCGAUACUGGGUAUCUUGAGUUCGGGAGAGGUGAGUGGAAUGCCGAGUGUAGAGGUGAAAUUCGUAGAUAUUCGGCGGAACACCAGUGGCGAAGGCGACUCACUGGCCCGAUACUGACGCUGAUGCGCGAAAGCGUGGGGAGCAAACAGGG
rnacentral:rRNA from 1 species